AACCUCCGCAAUGUGAGAAAUCGCGACGGGGGGAUCCCAAGUGCCAUUCUUAACGGGAUGGCUUUUCAUUAGUGUAAAGAGCUUUUGGAAUAAGGGCUGGGCAAGACCGGUGCCAGCCGCCGCGGUAACACCGGCAGCUCUAGUGGUAGCAGUUUUUAUUGGGCCUAAAGCGUCCGUAGCCGGUUUAAUAAGUCUCUGGUGAAAUCCUGUAGCUUAACUGUGGGAAUUGCUGGAGAUACUAUUAGACUUGAGACCGGGAGAGGUUAGAGGUACUCCCAGGGUAGAGGUGAAAUUCUGUAAUCCUGGGAGGACCGCCUGUUGCGAAGGCGUCUAACUGGAACGGUUCUGACGGUGAGGGACGAAAGUUAGGGGCGCGAACCGGAUUAGAUACCCGGGUAGUCCUAACUGUAAACGAUGCGGACUUGGUGUUGGGGUGGCUUUGAGCUGUUCCAGUGCCGAAGGGAAGCUGUUAAGUCCGCCGCCUGGGAAGUACGGUCGCAAGACUGAAACUUAAAGGAAGU
rnacentral:rRNA from 1 species